GUCUCGCAGGCUGCACUGUGCUUACUUUACAGCUUCUCUGUGAGGCUGAGAGUGGCCAUUAAGAAAUGAAAGCAAGUUUAGAUUUCACCGGCAUGUUUGGAUUUGAGACAUUUUGCGUUUCAAGAGACCAAGGUCAGCUCAACCUUUUUUUGCACCGAGACCCAGACACCACCAUGAUUUAACCAAAGAACUCCACUGGUGAAUUUAAAGAAGCUGGACAAUGAGUAACAAUUGCCUGUGACAACUGUCUGUGAAGAAUAUCGUUGUCAGAAAUUCCAGACUGCCCCAGAGCUGUGGCAGGAAAGUCCAGAGAUUAUUACUGGGUAAUGACAUUGGAAAUAAAAAAGUAUAUAGUAUUACAGUA